AGUGAACGCUGGCGGUAGGCCUAACACAUGCCAGUCGAACGGCAGCACAGUAAGAGCUUGCUCUUACGGGUGGCGAGUGGCGGACGGGUGAGGAAUACAUCGGAAUCUACUUUUUCGUGGGGGAUAAUGUAGGGAAACUUACGCUAAUACCGCAUACGACCUACGGGUGAAAGCAGGGGAUCUUCGGACCUUGCGCGAUUGAAUGAGCCGAUGUCGGAUUAGCUAGUUGGCGGGGUAAAGGCCCACCAAGGCGACGAUCCGUAGCUGGUCUGAGAGGAUGAGCAGCCACAGGGGAAAGGACACGCGGCCCAGCCCCCGACGGGGGGCGGCAGGGGGGAAUAUUGAAGAAGGGGCGAAAGCCUGACCCAGCCAUACCGGGUGGGGAAAGGGGGCUUUGGGGUUAAAAACCCUUUUGGUGGGAAAAAAAAAGCAGCGGGUUAAUCCCCCGCUGUCCUGACGGUACCAAAAGAAUAAGCACCGGCUAACUUCGC
rnacentral:rRNA from 1 species